rfam:Picea glauca, whole genome shotgun sequence.
GGAUCUGUGGCACAAUGGUAGUGUGUCUGAAUCCAGAUCAGAAGGUUAUGUGUUCGAUUCAUGUCGGGUUCA